GAGUUGAUUUCAAGGAAGGUGAAGGUAGGUAAGAUCUAACGGGUGAAUUCAGGUAAAUUCAGAGAGGUGAACUCAAGUAAGAUCUGACAGAGGUGAACUCAGGUGAGGUCUGACAGAGGUAAACUCAGGUGAGAUCUGAUAGAAGUGAACUCAGGUGAGAUUGACAGAAUAUAAUUUUCUGUUUUUUAAGUAUGGUAUAGAACAGUGAACUUUGAUCAAGAAAAAGUAGAUAAGUUGAUUUGUUAAAAGCAACAAAAAUUGAGAAAUUCAAAGAAAAAAUGUAAAACUGAACAUUUAAAAAUAACAAACAUUGAGAAAGAAAAAAGUGUAAAAUCUGAACAAUUGAACACUGAACAUUGAGAAAUAGAAAAGUGUUAAACUUGAACAAAAACUACGAACAAUGAGAAAUAGAAAAGUGUUAAACUUGAACAAAAACUACGAACAUUGAGAAAUAGAAAAGUGUUUAACUUGAAACAAAAACUACAAACAUUGAGAAAAAAAAGUGUUAAAAUUGAACAAAAACUAUGAACGUUGAGAAGGAAAGUGUAAAAUCUGAACAAUUAAAAUCUAUGAACUUUGAACAAGAAUCAGUGAACUACCAUACAAUUUAAAAAAAAUAUACAAGAAAAAGAGAACUUCCUGUUUAAUUAAAAAGAUUAGGCAAAAAAAAGACUCCCUGUACUAUUAAAUUGAAUAGACAAGAAAAAGAGAACUUACUGUACGAUUAAAAAGAAUUCCUCAACCGUGAAAUCAAGUCCCCAUGAUCAUUAUUUUUUUCUCUCAAAUUAUAAAAAUAAGUGAUUCUACAGUAUGUUGCACUGCAAUAGGCGAUAGCUGUAGACCUGUAGCUCUUGUUCUAUAGGUCUGCAGCUUCAGUCGAGAGAAGAGGUUCUGGUUAAUGAUGAAUGGUAAAAGGUUAGAAACUCAGCACAUACACUCAGUAGCCAGAAUGACACGUGUGACAGACACCCAGUUCAUUGAGCUCUGGGUAUUGAGUCUCUACCACAGAGCGAAUUGAAUGAGGUACAGAACAUAUGUCUGGUAAAAUUCUGGUCAGACUGAGACAUCACCUGGGCAGGUACAGACAGACAAACAGUCAUUGGUAUCGCAGUCUGUCACCUGUGUGGUUCAGGAGGCUGGGUGGUGCUGGGUUUGUGCUAUCAACUGCGAUCUGAGACCAGACCUAAAGCUAGGACGACAGAUGAAUUUUCCCAUUUAACCUUUUCAACAAAUAGCUUUGGUAGAAACAAAUUCUUGUGCAACAGAGCUCUUCAGUCCAAUAUCCACAAAACAGAAAAUGUAGUGUGAGUUUAUAUACCAACAGGAUUAGGAUGGUUCAUGUAAAAAUAAGAUUUUGAACUUUAUUACCAGUUUUGUUUGCAAGUGAGAAAUAAUAAAAUUGUAUUAUUAGCUCACCUGAGCUGAAAGCUCAAGUGAGCUUUUCUGAUCACUUGUUUUCCGUUGUCUGUCUGUAAACUUUUUAUACUUUCAACUUCUUCCAGAACCACUGGACAAUUUCAGCCAAACUUGGUACAAAAUCAUUCUUGGGUGAAGGGGAUUCAAGUUUGUUCAAAUGAAGGACCAUGCCUCCUUGAAAGGGGAGAUAAUCACAAAAAUAGGGUGGAAUCAUUUUAAAAUCUUUUUCUCAAGAACCACUGGGCCCGAAAAGCUGAAAUUUACAUGAAAGCUUCUUGACAUAGUGGAAAUUCAAGUUAGUUAAAAUCUUGACCUAGGGGUAGGUUGGGGCCACAAUAGGGGAUCAAAGUUUUACAUGCGAAAUGCGAAUAUAUAGGGAAAAUCUUUAAAAGUCUUCCUUUCAAGAACCACUAGGCCAUAAGAGUGGAGAUUUAACUGAGAGCUUCCUGGUAUAAAGUAGGUUCAAGUUUGUUCAGAUUAUGCCCCCCUCCUUUCGGCAGUAGGAUGAGGCCACAAUAGGGGAUCAAAGUACAUACAAAUUUAUAUGGAAAAUCUUUAAAAAUCUUCUUAAGAACCACUGGGCCAGAAAAGUUUACAUGUACAUAAAAGCUUCCUGACGUAAGUGCAGAUUCAAGUUUAAUAACAACACAGCCCCCCCGGGGUAAGUUGGGACCACAAUAGGGAUAAAAGUUUUACAUACAAAUGUAUAUGAAAAAUCUUUCAAAAUCUUUUCAAGAACCACGGGGCCAGAAAAGUUUACAUUUACAUAAAAGCAUCCUGACAUAGUGCAGAUUCAAGUUUGUCAGCAUCACGGCUCCCAGGGGUAAGUUGGGGCCACAAUAGGGAUCAAAGUUUUACAUGCGAAUAUGUAGGGAAAAUCUUUAAAUAUGGGCCAAGGUGACUCAGGUGAGCAACGUGGCCCAUGGGCCUCUUGUUUAUGCAUAUAUUUUGAGAAAUGCUUCUUCUCUUAAAAAUUGUUGGCUCUCACAAGUUUUACUUCUCAUGUAUAAGGUUCACAUAAGCUCUAAUGCAAAUAAAGUAUAGUCACUGAAAUAAAAGUAGGCACUAUUAACAAAGUAGUCACUGAAAUAAAAGUAGGCACUAUUAACAAAGUAGUCACUGAAAUAAAAGUAGGCACUAUUAACAAAGUAGUCACUGAAAUAAAAGUUGGCACUAUUAACAAAGUAGUCACUGAAAUAAAAGUUGGCACUAUUAACAAAGUAGUCGCUGAAAUAAAAGUAGGCACUAUUAACAGUAGUCGCUGAAAUAAAAGUAGGCACUAUUAACAAAGUAGUCACUGAAAUAAAAGUAGGCACUAUUAACAAAGUAGUCGCUGAAAUAAAAGUAGGCACUAUUAACAAAGUAGUCGCUGAAAUAAAAGUAGGCACUGUUAACAAAGUAGUCGCUGAAAUAAAAGUAGGCACUGUUAACAAAGUAGUCACUGAAAUAAAAGUAGGCACUAUUAACAAAGUAGUCGCUGAAAUAAAAGUAGGCACUAUUAACAAAGUAGUCGUUGAAAUAAAAGUAGGCACUAUUAACAAAGUAGUCACUGAAAUAAAAGUAGGCACUAUUAACAGUAGUCACUGAAAUAAAAGUAGGCACUGUUAACAAAGUAGUCACUGAAAUAAAAGUUGUACAACACCAGAAUAACAGUAGACUUUGUACUUCAUGUAUUCCAUUACAUUUUGUUGCAGUCUGAUUACAUGCUCUCUAUAAGUUUGUCCCAGUAAUCUGACAAGAUUUUUUUUAUUUGAUUACCUCGAGGAUUUGUGGCUAUCAGAGUUUGAGUAAAAUCUUAGGAAAUGUCAUUCCUAAUGGUCUGUUUACCUU